rnacentral:rRNA from 1 species
CCCCAGACUCCUACGGGAGGCAGCAGUGAGGAAUAUUGGUCAAUGGGCGAGAGCCUGAACCAGCCAAGUCGCGUGAAGGAUGACGGCCCUACGGGUUGUAAACCUCUUUUGUCAGGGAGCAAUUGGCGCUACGUGUAGCGUUAUCGAGAGUACCUGAAGAAAAAGCAUCGGCUAACUCCGUGCCAGCAGCCGCGGUAAUACGGAGGAUGCGAGCGUUAUCCGGAUUUAUUGGGUUUAAAGGGUGCGUAGGCGGAAUGCCAAGUCAGCGGUAAAAUCGCGGGGCUCAACCUCGCUCCGCCGUUGAAACUGGCGUUCUUGAGUGGGCGAGAAGUAUGCGGAAUGCGUGGUGUAGCGGUGAAAUGCAUAGAUAUCACGCAGAACUCCGAUUGCGAAGGCAGCAUACCGGCGCCCAACUGACGCUGAAGCACGAAAGCGUGGGUAUCGAACAGGAUUAGAUACCCUCGUA